UUAAGAAACCCAAAAAAAUUACCGACCGACCAAUAGCCCAAUUUUGAUCAAAUUCAAUUAAUUGCAGGCAACGAAAUCAAUCUGCCCUAACUCUGCGAUUUUCCUCUUUCGCGAGCUUUUCCGUAUCAAUCAGAGAAGUAUUAUUGUUAUGGAUGGAAUUGGGAUGUUGAUGAACCCAAUUCUAUAAAGACCUGGACUCUUGAGGGAGAAUCCGAUGAUGAAGAGACGGGUAUGGACGUUGACGGAGAAGCCUAUCGCGCUGACAAAGAGGAUGGAGCUGUCUUGGAGGUUGAUUCCGAGAAUGAAAGAGCUGCACCUGCUCUGCAGGAUGAUGAAAUUGAUCCAUUAGACGCUUUUAUGAAUUCUACGAUGCCGCCUGAAGUUGAGAAGCUGGCCAAUGUUGCGGAACAAACAAUAGUUUCUGUUGAAAAAGAUUCAAAUAAAUCUUUAGGCAGAAUAAUUCCUGGGGAGGAUUCAGACUCGGGUUAUGGGGACAUUGGGAAUAAUGACAAUCCCUUAGAAGACGAAGACGAUGAUGAGUCCACUCAAAGAUAGUUAUGAACCAUUCCGAAAAAAUUUAUACAUUGAUGAGGUGAAGGAGAUCUCAAAAAUGACCCCAGGAGAUGUGGGUGCAUACCGAAAACAGUUGGAAUUGAAGAUACAUGGUAAGGAUGUCACCAAGCCCAUUAAGACCUGGCACCAAACUGGGCUUACAAAUAAAAUCUUCGAAAUUAUAAAGAGGCUCGGCUAUGAAAAGCCAAUGCCAAUUCAGGCUCAGGCAUUGCCUAUAAUUAUGAGCGGUCGAGACUGCAUUGGCAUUGCAAAAACUGGCUCAGGCAAAACCCUUGUAUAUGUGCUGCCAAUGCUGAGGCAUAGCAAGGACCAUCCACCUGUGGUAGCUGGAUGGGCCUAUUGGUCUUGUAAUGGCACCGACAAGGGAGCUUGUGCAGCAGAUUCACAGUGUUAUUAACAAGUUUGCCAGGGCACUUAGUCUCAGGUGUGUGCCUGUAUAUGGAGGUUCUGGUAUUGCCCUGCAGACCGGGGAGUGGAAGGUUACCCACAAGGAAACUUUGGGCCCUAUAUCAGAGUUGACUGGAGCUGCCAUUACUAUCAGGGGUCAAUAUUUCCCGCCAGGCAAGGUUCCAGGGCCAGGAGAUUGCAAGGUGUUCCUGUUUAUUGACGGUCUUACUGAACAAUCUGUCAAGAGAGGUAAAGCAGAAAUAAAACGCAAGUCGGAAGAAAUCAUGAAUCAGGCAUUACCACUCCCGGGCGGUGCUCAGCAACGCAGAUAUCAAGCUGUAUAAGUGAGAACGUGAUUCCUACUUACUUUUUGCAUAAUUUUAUCUGCGUUUGCUGAACUUAAUCUGCCUCUCAGUUCUUGGUUUAUUAUUUCUCAGUCACCUAAUGAGUUUUCUUUUUGAAUUUUUCUAUUUAAUAGACUAUUUUUGUCAUUCCACAUGUCCUAUCUAUCCUACUGAUCUUCAGUAUUCAACUUACUAUACAAGUUUUAUUAAGGAGUCAUUUUAUUUUUUACAAUGAAUAAUCUGAUACAUAUGAAUUUCAUUGCGUGAAUAGCUAUUUUUGUCUUGCUUUGCACAAUUUUCAGUCCACUUUUGAUUUUUUUUUCCCUCUUUUGUUUGUCAUUUCCCCUGGUGCGAGGGACAUUAUGUUCAUAUGCUCGCAUGCUCAAUAUUUUCUUUGCCUUUACGAAGCUGUGCAUGAGAUACGAUCAUGGUGCGAUUCUUCAGUUUAAAGGGAUGUUUUGUUUGGGAAUUGCUGGAGCCGAUCAGCUGCCCUCCAAAAUGGAUUUGCUUUUGUGGCGUUGUCUGCUAUAACGGGUUAUUGAGUUCUGCAGAGAUAACUAACCUUGUCACACCCCGAUCCCGACAUAUGUCCAGAAUCGACGCAUGACAGUAGACUGCAGAGGGAUGCUAGGAAAUACCAACUGAAAUACUAAACUGAAAACAACUAUAAUUACAACUAUUCAAGGAAAAGUAUAGAGGUAACCUAACACUCCAAGCCCUCUGAACUCUGUCUGCUACCCCAAAGCUCCUCGUAUCUACUAACACCUGCACAAUCGCCCUUACACCAUGGGAAUGGUGCACCGGGCAAACAACGACCCGGAUAAGCCACGAAGCUCGUGUGACUGAUAAUAAUUAUACGUAUGUGAUACUAUUAAAAACCAACCAUCGAUUACGGUUUUUAAACCU